rnacentral:rRNA from 1 species
GGGUCAGUAGGUUGGUCGUGCCACCGGUACGUACUGGUCUCACUGAUUCCUCCUUCCUGAAGAACCGUAAUGCCAUUAAUUUGGUGUUGCGGGGAAACAGGACUGGUACUUUGAAAAAAUUAGAGUGUUUAAAGCAAGCUAACGCUUGAAUACAUUAGCAUGGAAUAAUGAAAUAGGACGAUCGAUCCUAUUUUGUUGGUUUCUAGGAUUGACGUA